GCGGCGUACCUAACACAUGCAAGUCGAACGGGGAUCACAGGGUUAGCAAUAACUCGGUGGUUCUAGUGGCGCACGGGUGAGUAACACGUGGGUAACCUGCCCUUGAGACUGGGAUACCCCCUCGAAAGGGGGGCUAAUACCGGAUACGUUCCUCGGAUCGAAAGACCUGAGGAGGAAAGGUGGCGAAAGCUGCCGCUCGUGGAGGGGCUCGCGGCCUAUCAGCUAGUUGGCGGGGUAACGGCCCACCAAGGCUAUGACGGGUAGCUGGUCUGAGAGGACGACCAGCCACACGGGGACUGAGACACGGCCCCGACUCCUACGGGAGGCAGCAGUGGGGAAUUUUCCGCAAUGGGCGAAAGCCUGACGGAGUGACGCCGCGUGUGGGACGAAGGCCUUCGGGUCGUAAACCACUGUCAGUGGGAAAGAUGGGUGUCGGCGUGAUAACCGCCGGCAUUUGACGGUACCUGCAGAGGAAGCCCCGGCUAACUCUGUGCCAGCAGCCGCGGUAAGACAGAGGGGGCAAGCGUUGCUCGGAAUUACUGGGCGUAAAGGGCGCGUAGGCGGGAUGGCAAGUCGGUCGUGAAAUCCCUCGGCUCAACUGAGGAUCGUCGAUCGAUACUGCCGUUCUUGAGGAUUGCAGAGGAGACUGGAAUUCCCGGUGUAGCGGUGAAAUGUGUAGAGAUCGGGAGGAACACCGGUGGCGAAGGCGGGUCUCUGGGCAAUUCCUGGCGCUGAGGCGCGAAAG
rnacentral:rRNA from 1 species